GUAGGUGAACCUGCGGAAGGAUCAUUAACAAUCAUCCAACACACUCGUCUUGGCCGUCCGUCUCCCCUCUUUCUCGUGUCUUUGUUGUAUACGGGAAAGGGAGGGGGAAGGUACGUGCCUAAUGACAAACACACAAACAUUCAACCUUUUGACAACUAAUGGAGAACCAUACAUGCAAAAUAUGUUUUUGUAUAUAUACAAACAAAAAACAACUUUUAACAAUGGAUCUCUCGGCUCUUGCAUCGAUGAA
rnacentral:misc_RNA from 1 species